UGAGAACAGCUUGGAUCCGCAUCUCUGCUCUCUCAAUGAUUUUCACGCCAUGUUUGCUUGUUUAGGAGUAGAAGCACAGUCUGUCUCACAGGCUGCUUAAAAGCCGCUGCAUUUGAGGGAUGGUCCAGCUGGGAGCCCCCAAGGGCCACGCACACGCCGAGAGCGAGUGGACAACCGCACAUACCACGCCAGAGCCUCUGUCCCGGGCACGAGGCAAGCAAGAACACGAAUGUGUUUCCGUAGAGAACAGGAGACGUGAGCCCGAAACAUCUUGGAGUGAUUUGGACGCCUUCCUCCCAGGACAGUCUCUCCUGGUGUAACACGAUGGGUUUCUCCUGGAUCUAAAACAUCGAUUUGGCCACAGCCUCAGCAGAGUGUUUGGUCUUCCAAACCAUAAAGAUCAGAGACUGUUGUUUCUUCAGUGUUUCAAAGCAUAACAUUGACACUGAGUUUUGCUGU
rnacentral:lncRNA from 1 species